rnacentral:rRNA from 1 species
AUUGAACGCUGGCGGCAUGCCUUACACAUGCAAGUCGAACGGCAGCACGGGGGCAACCCUGGUGGCGAGUGGCGAACGGGUGAGUAAGACAUCGGAACGUGUCCUGGAGUGGGGGAUAGCCCGGCGAAAGCCGGAUUAAUACCGCAUACGCUCGGGAGAGGAAAGCGGGGGACCUUCGGGCCUCGCGCUCAAGGGGCGGCCGAUGGCAGAUUAGGUAGUUGGUGAGGUAAAGGCUCACCAAGCCGACGAUCUGUAGCUGGUCUGAGAGGA